rnacentral:rRNA from 1 species
AAUGAACGCUGGUGGCAGACCUAACACAUGCAAGUCGAACGGUCUAUAUUAAACUUCGGUUUUUUAUAGAUAGUGGCAAACGGGUGAGUAAAGCAUGGGAAUCUACCUAGAAGUUUGGAAUAGCUAUUAGAAAUGAUAGAUAAUACCAAAUACACCUCGAGAGGGAAAGUUGACUUCGGUCUUCGCUUUUAGAUGAGCCCAUGUUAAAUUAGUUAGUUGGUAGGGUAAUGGCCUACCAAGAUGAUGAUUUAUAGCUGGUCUUAGAGGAUGAUCAGCCACACUGGAAUUGAGAUACGGUCCAGACUCCUACGGGAGGCAGCAGUGGGGAAUAUUGCACAAUGGGCGCAAGCCUGAUGCAGCGACGCCGCGUGAGGGAUGACGGCCUUCGGGUUGUAAACCUCUGUUAGCAGGGAAGAAGAGAAAUUGACGGUACCUGCAGAGAAAGCGCCGGCUAACUACGUGCCAGCAGCCGCGGUAAU